rnacentral:rRNA from 1 species
CCAGCCGCCGCGGUAACACCGGCGGCCCGAGUGGUGAUCGUGAUUAUUGGGUCUAAAGGGUCCGUAGCCGGUUUGGUCAGUCCUCCGGGAAAUCUGAUAGCUCAACUAUUAGGCUUUCGGGGGAUACUGCCAGACUUGGAACCGGGAGAGGUAAGAGGUACUACAGGGGUAGGAGUGAAAUCUUGUAAUCCCUGUGGGACCACCUGUGGCGAAGGCGUCUUACCAGAACGGGUUCGACGGUGAGGGACGAAAGCUGGGGGCACGAACCGGAUUAGAUACCCGGGUAGUCCCAGCCGUAAACGAUGCUCGCUAGGUGUCAGGCAUGGCGCGACCGUGUCUGGUGCCGCAGGGAAGCCGUGAAGCGAGCCACCUGGGAAGUACGGCCGCAAGGCUGAAACUUAAAGGAAUUGGCGGGGGAGCACAACAACGGGUGGAAGCCUGCGGUUUAAUUGGACUCAACGCCGGACAACUCACCGGGGGCGACAGCAAUAUGUAGGCCAAGCUGAAGACUUUGCCUGAAUCGCUGAGGGGUGGUGCAUGG